rnacentral:tRNA from 1 species
AAGAAAUUAGUUUAUAAAAACAUUAACUUGUCAAGUUAAAAAUAUUAAUUAGCUAAUAUUUCUUG